UCAUAGUGCUGGGGGUCAGAUGUCCAAAUAAGCCAAUAUGAAAGUGUUAGGAGGGCACGUUCCUCUCUGGAGCUCUUGGGGAGAAUCCAUGUCCUUGCGUUUUCCAGCUUCCUGGAGGACAACUGCAUUCCUUGGCUUGUGGUAACUUCCUCCAUUUGCCAAAAACAGCAGCGGCCACUUGAGUCUCACGUUGCACCUGCUGAUCUACUUCCUUCUUCCACAUGUCAAGGACCCUAUGAUGACUUUGGGCCCACCCAGAUGGUCCAGGAAAAUCUCCUCAUUUGAAGGUGAUUUUUAAUAGCCUUUCUUGCUGCAUUCAAAAUGUGGUGAGUAGCAACCUAGGAGUAUUAAGACGUGAGUAUCCUUUGACCCACUUCUGCAGUUUUCCAAUAGGCUCGAAAGAAAACCCUUUAGAAGCAACAAACAAAUCUGGGCAAAGGUAUUCACAGCAGCCACUACGGAAUGGUGAGCAACAAGAAAUGGUCGCUUGCCUGAUGCUGAGAGUGGUUGGAGGAAGUGAACAGAAUAUGACAUAGUACGAUCUUUCGUAGCAUUUACGGGUGACAAGUAGGACGUGGCCAUGCAUUUACGACUUCGGAGAAAUACGCGAAGCAAAUCAAGCAAAAUACAAUUGAUCCCAGUGAUUAUGGGCAUGGGCUCUGAAAAUGUUUGCACGUACCUUAAGCGAGAUGAGAGAGAAUGGGGGGGAUUCUGAACCCUCUUUGUGUCAAUGAUAUUUUUAGGAAUCUGAGAAUGCCUUGGACCAUCUCCCCAGAAAAAUCCCCAGACAUACAACAUUUUGCAGUAACUCUAGGAGAUUCAUCAGUCCCUUGAUGUCCAUUCAAGGGCCACUCGUCCCCACAAGGGCCCAUCCACUCCGGAUUUAAAACACAAUAUUCAUUUAGUUCAGUCUUGGUCAUUAAGUUGCUAACUCCCAUUAAGAAGCCUAAAAAACCCCACCUAAAACAUGUUCAGAGAUUUGGGACAUAUUACGUAUUUGCUGUUUGUUUGCUCCUUGUAGAAUGUGAGUUCCCUGAUAGCAAAGCUACUAGAUGGUCUUGUCUGUUCUGUGUAUCUCCAGGACCUAGAAUACUGUUGCUUCCAGUAGCAGCUGCUCAAUAUUUCCUGAAGGAAGGAAUUCCUUAACAGCAUGUCCAAAUGCAAAGCGUUAUUAUUAGAAAGACAGCUUUGGGCUGGAAUCAUCCAUGUUAUUGCACACUGUAAGCCAUUUAUCCACCUGGCUGUAUGGGGCACAAUACUCCAUGUGUGACUACACCACAGUAGAACCAUCCAUUCUACUAGGGCUAUUUGGGUUCAGUUUCUUUGUUUUGAUUUUUUUUGCCAUCAUGAAUAGUACCACCUGGAACAUUCUAGCACAUGUCUUUUGGUGAACAGAUGGGUGCAUUUCCAUGGGAAUGGAAUUGCUGGAUGAUGGCGUCUGUGCAUGUGUAGUUCUAGAAGACGUUGUGAAAUGGUUUUCUGAAGUGGUUGUACCAACCUGUGUGGCCAUUCAGGUGAUUCUGAACGUCUCUCUGUCUCGAGGCCGACUGUGCCAUUCCAGGGUCCCGUAUUCCUUGUAAAGCCACGUGUGGACAUAAUUACCCAUCUCUGGACAUAAUUACCCAUCUCUCCCCUCUGGGCAGUUUCUUUCUUAGUGAACAAUUUACUUCUGUCUGGGUGAUUUACUUCCUUAUGAAAGCUCCCCUCUUUCCAUCAGUUGUCUCAAAACAUUAGAUGCUAAUGUUGGUUGAAUACAAGAGUGACUCAUUCAAAUCUUCUGGGACAAAUCCCAAACCUUCGCUGUCCUGUUUUUUAUUUUUGAGCCAUACAUUAAGAAGAAAACUCUGAGCCAUGGAAACCCACAGAAUUAAAGACACGUCACCACCUGAAAAGGACCCCAUUGUUCUAAUGCUUGGCUUAUGCCACAGUUGCUGUAAGCAAGGAGAAGAUUUGCUUCUAGGGUAGCAGGACCACGUUGGGAUGCCACGUGGAAUUCCAGGAACCUGGUAAGUGGGAGUCGUUUUCAAGGACGCAGUCCUGAGAGAGCAAUGCGGUGCUGAGGUCAUCUGGACACUCUGUGUGACUGAGCCUGUCUUUGUUCCCUCCGCUGGCCUGGAGGACAUCAUAGCACAUGGAGACGACCUGACUAAAAUCACCCUACAAGACUUCAACGAGAGCCACAGAUUCUGCCCUCCUGAACACCGAAUCAUCUCUAAGCAGAAAAGCCGUCCUCUGAAACAGGACAGCCUUGAACAUUCUCUCUGCCUUGCGAAGACGCCCUGGUGCCAUUAUCCAAACAGAGUGUCGUGCGUGUACAUCCAAUGAGACUGCACACGCACCAUUUUUAUUAAAUCACACGGGGACACUUAUAAAGCCCCACAGCGAUCUGACCCCCAGCCUAGGGGACGUAAUACAUCAGUGGCUCAGAUCAUGGGGCUCCCUCUCGGUGGAAAAAAUUGUUACUUAUUUUGGAAAUCAUUAUCAUCAUCAUUAUCUAUUUUCCAUGGGCUUAUGUGGGUUGCUAGGGGAUCUGCCUCUGGUGCAGCCAGAGAGCCUCCCAACCAGCCACCUCCGUGCGUGCAAAAUCUUGCUGACCGACUGCUCCAGACACUCUGCUGGGGAGGGCGGCGUGGGGAGAUGGUCAGAGCCGGUCAUGGUCACGAGGAGUGGAGUGUUGGUGGGGAUCACGGAGGGGAUGUGACCUGCACUUGACCCAGGAGGGGGGCUCCCUCGGGAAGGUCAGGAGAUUGCGAGCUCCUUACCCCUCCCCUUGAAAUGUGUGUUCCUCCCACCAUUCCCUCGGUGGGAGCCAUUUUCAAGGACAUAGCCUUGAGAGAGUAAGAUGUUCUUGAGACCAAGGUGACUGAACCUGUUAAGACCUCCCUGUAAACUUUAAAGGUUCUGGCUGCUGUUCGGAGACCCCCUUGUCCUGUGACUGCCAAGACCAGACUGGUGAGUCUCCUGCUUGUGAACAUUGCCUCUGGCUUGGGAGGGGCUGCCUCUUUCUUGUGCCUCUCCCUGUGCUUGGAGUGCGCAGACACGGGGGCAGUUUAUGAACCGACAUCCGGUUUCCGGCAAAGCCAAAUUUGGACACUCCCUGCUGCUGGCUGGGUAAUGUCCAAAUGCCGCAUCUGGUCUACAGUGCAGGUAUACCCUGGUCCCCACUCCCGCCUCCUUCCUAGCUCCAGUGCCCUGUGCUUCUCCGCAGACACACAGAGGUUUUGUGGCUCAGGGCCUUUUCACAGGCUCCUGUGUCCUUCUGGUUUCAUUUAUGGGCCAUUUCCCCCAGAAAAGCCUUCUCUCACUCCUCAAUUUAAAUUCAGCACCCCAGGGACGCCUGGCUGUCUCAGUCAGUGGAGCCCGAGACUUCUCCAUCUCAGGGCUGUGGUUUGGGUUCCAUGUUGAGUAUAGAAAUUACUUAAAAAUAAAAA